rnacentral:tRNA from 1 species
GCCCCGUAGCUCAAUUGGUGGAGCGUCUGACUCUGGAUCAGAAGGUUGUGUGUUCGAGUCACACCGGGGCUG